AGGCCGGGCGGGGGUGCCUAAUACAUGCAGUCGAACGACUCUGGUAUUGAUUGGUGCUUGCAUCAUGAUUUACAUUUGAGUGAGUGGCGAACUGGUGAGUAACACGUGGGAAACCUGCCCAGAAGCGGGGGAUAACACCUGGAAACAGAUGCUAAUACCGCAUAACAACUUGGACCGCAUGGUCCGAGUUUGAAAGAUGGCUUCGGCUAUCACUUUUGGAUGGUCCCGCGGCGUAUUAGCUAGAUGGUGGGGUAACGGCUCACCAUGGCAAUGAUACGUAGCCGACCUGAGAGGGUAAUCGGCCACAUUGGGACUGAGACACGGCCCAAACUCCUACGGGAGGCAGCAGUAGGGAAUCUUCCACAAUGGACGAAAGUCUGAUGGAGCAACGCCGCGUGAGUGAAGAAGGGUUUCGGCUCGUAAAACUCUGUUGUUAAAGAAGAACAUAUCUGAGAGUAACUGUUCAGGUAUUGACGGUAUUUAACCAGAAAGCCACGGCUAACUACGUGCCAGCAGCCGCGGUAAUACGUAGGUGGCAAGCGUUGUCCGGAUUUAUUGGGCGUAAAGCGAGCGCAGGCGGUUUUUUAAGUCUGAUGUGAAAGCCUUCGGCUCAACCGAAGAAGUGCAUCGGAAACUGGGAAACUUGAGUGCAGAAGAGGACAGUGGAACUCCAUGUGUAGCGGUGAAAUGCGUAGAUAUAUGGAAGAACACCAGUGGCGAAGGCGGCUGUCUGGUCUGUAACUGACGCUGAGGCUCGAAAGUAUGGGUAGCAAACAGGAUUAGAUACCCUGGUAGUCCAUACCGUAAACGAUGAAUGCUAAGUGUUGGAGGGUUUCCCGCCCUUCACUGCUGCAGCUAACCCAUUAAGCAUUACCGCCUGGGGAGUACGGCCGCAAGGCUGAAACUCCAAUGCACUUGACUGGGGGCCCGCACAAUCGUGGAGCAUGUGGCUUAAUUCUAAUCUACGCCGAUGACCCUAACAAGGUCUGGCGUACUAUGCUAGUUCUAAAAAACACUUAGA
rnacentral:rRNA from 1 species